rnacentral:tRNA from 1 species
GGGCCUGUAGCUCAGUUGGCUAGAGCACGUCCCUUACAAGGACGGGGUCGCCGGUUCGAGCCCGGCCGGGCCCA